AACGAACGCUGGCGGCAGGCCUAACACAUGCAAGUCGAGCGCCCCGCAAGGGGAGCGGCAGACGGGUGAGUAACACGUGGGAACGUGCCCGAAGGUACGGAACAACUCCGGGAAACUGGAGCUAAUACCGUAUGUGACCGAGAGGUGAAAGAUUUAUCGCCUUCGGAUCGGCCCGCGUCUGAUUAGCUAGUUGGUGGGGUAAUGGCCUACCAAGGCGACGAUCAGUAGCUGGUCUGAGAGGAUGAUCAGCCACACUGGGACUGAGACACGGCCCAGACUCCUACGGGAGGCAGCAGUGGGGAAUCUUGGACAAUGGGGGCAACCCUGAUCCAGCCAUGCCGCGUGAGUGAAGAAGGCCCUCGGGUUGUAAAGCUCUUUUGUCCGGAAAGAAAAGCAAUCGGUUAAUACCCGGUUGUUCUGACGGUACCGGAAGAAUAAGCACCGGCUAACUUCGUG
rnacentral:rRNA from 1 species